AUGGCCUGUUGUAAUAGAAUGCAGUGCUCUCAAUUCCUAUUUUAUACAGGCAAAAACACAAGCUCAGAAAUUAAUACCAGUCAAUUAUCCCACAAAGACAUUUUCUGUUCCCCUGUUUCUGGCUGACAUGUACAAUAUUGCAUUGUAAUAAAAACACUAAUGCUUACUAUUCUAGAAUCUUUUUGAGUAGCAGUCUCAGAACUUUUAAAACACCUAGCCACUGCUGAUCCUCACCUGUCACUGCCUGUGACUUCACUGUAGUUGUGUUAGUUUGGACAUUUUGCUGUUUCAUAUUUCCUUGCUGUUGGUUUUCAGGCAGUAACUGGGACCUUGGGACUGCUGCAACAUAUUCCAUUUGAGAGUUGACCCACUCAGCUUUUGAUCUUAGCAAGCACAGAGUUGCUGUUGGGAGAACGCAGGAGGGGGGACCAUGCUGUGCCAGGAUGUUGUGAUCACUCCUUUGGCUCCACGCUGCUGGAGAUGACAGAAGGCAGCAAAUCACAAGUCAGCAGGGCACUGAAAAGCUCCUGUGACUGCUUUCUUUUUGUGUUAUGUUGUAGUAAGGGAAAAUUUGGACCCUUUGACCCACCCUGACACCAUGGGAAGGAAAUAAAAAGGGAAUCACUCA